GACGAACGCUGGCGGCGUGCUUAACACAUGCAAGUCGAACGAUGAACUGGAGCUUGCUCCAGGGAUUAGUGGCGAACGGGUGAGUAACACGUGAGUAACCUGCCCUUGACUCUGGGAUAAGCGCUAGAAAUGGCGUCUAAUACCGGAUACGAGCUUCAGCCGCAUGGCUAGGAGUUGGAAAGAAUUUUGGUCAAGGAUGGACUCGCGGCCUAUCAGCUAGUUGGUGAGGUAAUGGCUCACCAAGGCGACGACGGGUAGCCGGCCUGAGAGGGUGACCGGCCACACUGGGACUGAGACACGGCCCAGACUCCUACGGGAGGCAGCAGUGGGGAAUAUUGCACAAUGGGCGAAAGCCUGAUGCAGCAACGCCGCGUGAGGGAUGACGGCCUUCGGGUUGUAAACCUCUUUUAGUAGGGAAGAAGCGAAAGUGACGGUACCUGCAGAAAAAGCACCGGCUAACUACGUGCCAGCAGCCGCCGUAAGAC
rnacentral:rRNA from 1 species